AACGAACGCUGGCGGCAGGCUUAACACAUGCAAGUCGAGCGAGACCUUCGGGUCUAGCGGCGGACGGGUGAGUAACGCGUGGGAACGUGCCCUUCUCUACGGAAUAGCCCCGGGAAACUGGGAGUAAUACCGUAUACGCCCUUUGGGGGAAAGAUUUAUCGGAGAAGGAUCGGCCCGCGUUGGAUUAGGUAGUUGGUGGGGUAAUGGCCCACCAAGCCGACGAUCCAUAGCUGGUUUGAGAGGAUGAUCAGCCACACUGGGACUGAGACACGGCCCAGACUCCUACGGGAGGCAGAAGUGGGGAAUCUUAGACAAUGGGGGCAACCCUGAUCUAGCCAUGCCGCGUGAGUGAUGAAGGCCUUAGGGUUGUAAAGCUCUUUCAGCUGGGAAGAUAAUGACGGUACCAGCAGAAGAAGCCCCGGCUAACUCCGUG
rnacentral:rRNA from 1 species